UACGUAGGGUGCGAGCGUUGUCCGGAAUUAUUGGGCGUAAAGAGCUCGUAGGCGGUCUGUCGCGUCGGAUGUGAAAGCCCGGGGCUUAACUCCGGGUCUGCAUUCGAUACGGGCAGACUAGAGUGUGGUAGGGGAGAUGGAAUUCCUGGUGUAGCGGUGAAAUGCGCAGAUAUCAGGAGGAACACCGGUGGCGAAGGCGGAUCUCUGGGCCAUUACUGACGCUGAGGAGCGAAAGCGUGGGGAGCGAACAGG
rnacentral:rRNA from 1 species